rnacentral:rRNA from 1 species
UACGUAGGGUGCGAGCGUUAAUCGGAAUUACUGGGCGUAAAGUGUGCGCAGGCGGCCGAGCAAGUCGAGUGUGAAAGCCCCGAGCUUAACUUGGGAAUUGCGCUCGAAACUACUUGGCUGGAGUGUGGCAGAGGAAGGUGGAAUUCCAGGUGUAGCGGUGAAAUGCGUAGAGAUCUGGAGGAACACCGAUGGCGAAGGCAGCCUUCUGGGCCAACACUGACGCUGAGGCGCGAAAGCUAGGGGAGCGAACGGG